rnacentral:rRNA from 1 species
UACGGGAGGCAGCAGUGAGGAAUAUUGGUCAAUGGGCGAGAGCCUGAACCAGCCAAGUAGCGUGCAGGAAGACGGCCCUAUGGGUUGUAAACUGCUUUUAUACAGGGAUAAAGUCGGGGACGCGUUCCCCGUUUGCAGGUACUGUAUGAAUAAGGACCGGCUAACUACGUGCCAGCAGCCGCGGUAAU